UACGAAUCGUCCAAACGUUGUUCGGAAUCACUGGGCUUAAAGGGCGCGUAGGCGGUGCGUUAAGUCGGUGGUGAAAUACUUCGGCUCAACCGGAGAAUUGCCGCUGAAACUGGCGUGCUUGAGGGAGGUAGAGGUGUGUGGAACUUCCGGUGGAGCGGUGAAAUGCGUUGAUAUCGGAAGGAACACCCGUGGCGAAAGCGACGCACUGGACCUCUUCUGACGCUGAGGCGCGAAAGCUAGGGUAGCGAACGGGAUUAGAUACCCCGGUAGUCCUAGCCGUAAACGAUGGGUACUAGAGAGUAGAUGCUCCGAUGCGUUUACUCUCGAAGCAAAAGUGGUAAGUACCCCGCCUGGGGAGUAUGGUCGCAAGGCUGAA
rnacentral:rRNA from 1 species